rnacentral:rRNA from 1 species
AGAGCGAACGCUGGCGGCAUGCUUAACACAUGCAAGUCUCACGGGCAGCAAUGUCAGUGGCGGACGGGUGAGUAACGCGUAGGUAUCUAUCCAUGGGUGGGGGAUAACGUCGGGAAACUGACGCUAAUACCGCAUGACAUCUGAGGAUCAAAGGCGCGAGUCGCCUGUGGAGGAGCCUGCGUACGAUUAGCUAGUUGGUGGGGUAAAGGCCUACCAAGGCGACGAUCGUUAGCUGGUCUGAGAGGAUGAUCAGCCACACUGGGACUGAGACACGGCCCAGACUCCUACGGGAGGCAGCAGUGGGGAAUAUUGGACAAUGGGCGAAAGCCUGAUCCAGCAAUGCCGCGUGUGUGAAGAAGGUCUUCGGAUUGUAAAGCACUUUCGGCGGGACGAUGAUGACGGUACCCGCAGAAGAAGCCCCGGCUAACUUCGUGCCAGCAGCCGCGGUAA